rnacentral:rRNA from 1 species
GGGGAAUAUUGCGCAAUGGGCGAAAGCCUGACGCAGCGACGCCGCGUGGAGGAUGAAGGUCUUCGGAUUGUAAACUUCUGUUAAGUGGGAAGAAAAAUUUGCGUUUAAUACACACAAGGAAUGACGGUACCAUUAGAGAAAGCACCGGCUAACUUCGUGCCAGCAGCCGCGGUAAUACGAAGGGUGCAAGCGUUAUUCGGAUUUAUUGGGCGUGAAGGGUGCGUAGACGGUAUAUUAAGUCUAUUGUUAAAUCUUCUGGCCUAACCAGAAAUCUGCAGUAGAUACUGAUGUGCUAGAGGGUGGAAGAGAGAAGUGGAAUUCUCGGAGUAGCGGUAAAAUGCGUAGAUCUCGAGAGGAACACCAAUGGCGAAGGCAGCUUCUUGGUCCACACCUGACGUUGAGGCACGAAAGCGUGGGGAGCAAAC